rnacentral:rRNA from 1 species
CCUACGGGUAGCAGCAGUGGGGAAUAUUGGACAAUGGGCGAAAGCCUGAUCCAGCAAUGCCGCGUGAGUGAUGAAGGCCUUAGGGUUGUAAAGCUCUUUACCAGGGAUGCAGUACCUGGAGAAUAAGCCCGGCUAACUCCGUGCCAGCAGCCGCGGUAAUACGGAGGGGCUAGCGUUGUUCGGAAUUACUGGGCGUAAAGCGCACGUAGGCGGCUUUUUAAGUCAGGGGUGAAAUCCCGGGGCUCAACCCCGGAACUGCCCUUGAAACUGGGAAGCUAGAAUCUUGGAGAGGCGAGUGGAAUUCCGAGUGUAGAGGUGAAAUUCGUAGAUAUUCGGAAGAACACCAGUGGCGAAGGCGACUCGCUGGACAGAUUGACGCUGAGGUGCGAAAGCGUGGGGAGCAAACAGGAUUAGAUACCCUUGUAGUC